UACGUAGGGUGCAAGCGUUGUCCGGAAUUAUUGGGCGUAAAGAGCUCGUAGGCGGUUUGUCGCGUCGGUUGUGAAAGCCCGGGGCUUAACCCUGGGUCUGCAGUCGAUACGGGCAGGCUAGAGUUCGGUAGGGGAGACUGGAAUUCCUGGUGUAGCGGUGAAAUGCGCAGAUAUCAGGAGGAACACCGGUGGCGAAGGCGGGUCUCUGGGCCGAUACUGACGCUGAGGAGCGAAAGCGUGGGGAGCGAACAGG
rnacentral:rRNA from 1 species